rnacentral:rRNA from 1 species
UGGGGAAUAUUGCACAAUGGGCGCAAGCCUGAUGCAGCCAUGCCGCGUGUAUGAAGAAGGCCUUCGGGUUGUAAAGUACUUUCAGCGGGGAGGAAGGGAGUAAAGUUAAUACCUUUGCUCAUUGACGUUACCCGCAGAAGAAGCACCGGCUACCUCCGUGCCAGCAGCCGCGGUAAUACGGAGGGUGCAAGCGUUAAUCGGAAUUACUGGGCGUAAAGCGCACGCAGGCGGUUUGUUAAGUCAGAUGUGAAAUCCCCGGGCUCAACCUGGGAACUGCAUCUGAUACUGGCAAGCUUGAGUCUCGUAGAGGGGGGUAGAAUUCCAGGUGUAGCGGUGAAAUGCGUAGAGAUCUGGAGGAAUACCGGUGGCGAAGGCGGCCCCCUGGACGAAGACUGACGCUCAGGUGCGAAAGCGUGGGGAGCAAACA